rnacentral:lncRNA from 10 species
GCGGAGCCGCGGCCUCUCGUUCUUAAAGAGAUAGGAAAGAACUGACCUACUUUCUAUGGAGAUUCUUGUAAUAGGUGGGCUCAUUACAUCUGCCUAACCCAGGCUUGGUUCGGUAAAGACACCAUUCCAAGGAGCUCAGCUCACCCCUCUGCCUUGAAUCAUUUUCCCCUAAUCCCAUUUAAAAUGUAAUCAUUCGUUCAUUCCUUCAUUCAGUAGACAUCUAUAGAGCUUGCCUCGUGCUGGGCUCUAGAACACUAUGAGCUCACAGUACGGUGGUGGAGACAAGCCACCACACACGCAGUUCCCACAAGGUGUCCCCAAGAACUUCGGAGCUCAGAACAGGUGAUACUCACUCCUCCUUUGGGGAGAGGCCGUGGGCAUGGCUUCACUUUUCAGCUGGAUUAUAAAGGAUGUGAAGUUAGCCUGACUGAGCAGAAGGGGAGGGAAGACAGCACUCCAGGAAAGUGGAACGAACAACAGAGUCCAAAGGGCCCUCCAGCCUACCCACUCCCAAGUACCUGGAAGAAGCUCUCCACGUGUUCCCUUGGGGCCUCCUCCCGGAGUGCAGGGUCAUACAGGUUGAAGGCCCAAUUAAGCCUGUCAUCUACAGUUCCCCGAAGAAUCACGGACAAACCAGCCACAAAGUCCUCAAAACUGACCGAGCCAUCAUGGUUGGUGUCAAAGGCAUUGAAGAGAAAAGUGGCAUAGGUGCUGGAGUCUGCAGGGUGAGUGUGGAGAAGUUGGCUUCCACACAGGAGAGGACUUCCUCCCUCUAAGGAGCUCCCCAUACCCCCCAUCACCUUGGCAUUCCCAGCUCCUCCAGAAUCCCUCCCUCCCUCAGCCUAGAGAAGGACAACUGCUUCCCCUUGGGCCUUGUCCCCUCACCUCCUUGAGGAAAGAACUGGGAGUAAAUCUGCUUGAAGUUCUCCUCAUUGACAAUUCCGCUGGGACAUUCCUGGAAGGAGAGGGCACCAGGCUGAGGGCAGAGACAAAAUCCCCUUCCGUUCACCGCCCCCACCCUCCAUGGCCCAAGACUCCCAGGGAGGGGGAUAAUCUUCAAGCCUCCAGAGGACUCACCACGUGGCUCAUGUGAUGGGAGGGAAGACUUCUUUCCCAGUGCACAAAUAAAAAACAUGGAACGAAACUGACAGUCUACAGGCGCCACUUCCGUUCUGGCCCCGCCCCAGAACCUCCAGCUAGAAGUUCAGUCUCAGGGCCUUGCCUCCCUUCCGCCCACACCUCAAGCAUCCAAGCCAUGCUUUCUGGGAAGCUGUGGACCGGCUUGGGUCCUCCUGUCCCACCCUCGCUGAGUUUGGCCUCGCCUUGCACUCACGUUCUUGAAGCCCCGGUACAGGACCUGCAACUCCUUGCGCGUGAAUUUGGUUUGCUCCUGCAGCUGCUCCAGACCCUCAGGCCGGUGACACACG